GGGGGAUAUUGCGCAAUGGGGGCAACCCUGACGCAGCAACGCCGCGUGAAGGAUGAAGGUUUUCGGAUUGUAAACUUCUUUUAUUAAGGACGAAACUUGACGGUACUUAAUGAAUAAGCUCCGGCUAACUACGUGCCAGCAGCCGCGGUAAUACGUAGGGAGCAAGCGUUGUCCGGAUUUACUGGGUGUAAAGGGUGCGUAGGCGGCUUUGCAAGCCAGAUGUGAAAUCUAUGGGCUCAACCCAUAAACUGCAUUUGAAACUGUAGAGCUUGAGUGAAGUAGAGGCAGGCGGAAUUCCCCGUGUAGCGGUGAAAUGCGUAGAGAUGGGGAGGAACACCAGUGGCGAAGGCGGCCUGCUGGGCUUUAACUGACGCUGAGGCACGAAAGCGUGGGUAGCAAACAGGAUUAGAUACCCUGGUAGUCCACGCUGUAAACGAUGAUUACUAGGUGUGGGGGGUCUGACCCCUUCCGUGCCGGAGUUAACACAAUAAGUAAUCCACCUGGGGAGUACGGCCGCAAGGUUGAAACUCAAAGGAAUUGACGGGGGCCCGCACAAGCAGUGGAGUAUGUGGUUUAAUUCGAAGCAACGCGAAGAACCUUACCAGGUCUUGACAUCCAACUAACGAAGUAGAGAUACAUUAGGUGCCCUUCGGGGAAAGUUGAGACAGGUGGUGCAUGGUUGUCGUCAGCUCGUGUCGUGAGAUGUUGGGUUAAGUCCCGCAACGAGCGCAACCCUUGCUAUUAGUUGCUACGCAAGAGCACUCUAAUAGGACUGCCGUUGACAAAACGGAGGAAGGUGGGGACGACGUCAAAUCAUCAUGCCCCUUAUGACCUGGGCUACACACGUACUACAAUGGAUGUUAACAGAGGGAAGCAAGACAGCGAUGUGGAGCAAACCCCUAAAAACAUUCUCAGUUCAGAUUGCAGGCUGCAACCCGCCUGCAUGAAGAUGGAAUUGCUAGUAAUCGCGGAUCAGCAUGCCGCGGUGAAUACGUUCCCG
rnacentral:rRNA from 1 species